AAGGUCUAUUGUUACCUUUUUGUUAGAUGUGAUAACAAGCCAGCUCCGUGGACCAGGUUUAUAUAGAUCUUCGAAGCGCCUUCUUUUAUGUUUUCUGUUUGAGUCUAACGUUGUGGGAUAUACUGCAGUGACGAACAUGGAGAUCCUUCAAGACCUUUGCCUAAGCUUGAGGAUGCAAUAGACAUGUUUGAGAGAAAUGAAACUCUGUCAUGGAAUUGUGAUUGUCAUUGGAUCAGCGAUUUUGAGCUUUGGAUUAUACAUUGUGAUUUGGGGAAAAGAAAAAUAGGAUUCAACUAGAACUGUAGCAGGUCCUAAAAAGUCACCGUUGUUGGUUAACACACACCUUAGAGCAACACUAGUAUUACCAUCCCGUGCUUAGCACGGGUCAAGUUUUGUUUGCAUUAAAAAAGUCAUGCUUAAUCUAUUCACUUUUAUUUUUAUUGUUUUAAUGACUGUUCUGAUAAGAUUAAUAUAAUAAAAAAUAUUAUUAAUCAUGUACGUAAAUAUACAAUUUUUUUCUAAAAAUUCCUAAGAUAGUCGAAAAUGCUCUGUUCAUAACAAAUAGAUUAGUGAAAUUGUCAAACCAUAACAAACAAAUUUGUAAAAACUAUAUUUGCAUUAUCAUAGUUGUAGAUAGUUGAUACCUGUUUUCCUUCGGUUGAGUGUUAUUUUUUUUUGGUUGUUGCUGCUGUUGUUUUCCACAUCUUUAAAUUUGAAAAUGCUUAACCACCUUCGAGGCUACAAAAACAUAAUAUAGAAUUUUAAAGAGUAAGAGAGAAUUAUUUAGAAAAGAAGUAAGGAUACAAUUGUUUUCAGAGAAUGCUCCUUCGUUUUGUCUGUAAUUUGAGUUUAUCUUUUGCUUGAUUGUAUCUUGGCCUGAUAUACUUCUUUCUUGUUAAAGCUUAUUUUUUUUCUUCUUCCCCCUACAUUUCUGAUUUUAUUGGAUUAAAGCAAGGCAAAUAGUUUCCUAAAAUAGGCAAUAGAAAAAACAGAUUUAUAAAUACUAAUUUUAUAAAUAAAAGAGUUAGAGAUACUUAUUGUUACCUGACAACGCUUUAAAACAGGAGUAGACUUCAGAUGCCAUUUUCAAGCUGAAACAAAUAAUAAAAGAAUAUGACUUGUAUGGAUUUUCUUGCAUCUGGCGAAUAUCUGAAAGAGAAAAAAGAAAAAUAAGAAGCAAUGCAGAAGAAGAGAGAUGAAGAAGGUAUAGAGGCAGUUUUAAAUCGGAUCAUAUUUUUGAACGUGGUGUUUAUAAUGGGAAUUUUUUUAGGAAUGUAGGUAUUUGGAGUCACUGAAAACUCGGGACUUGAAUGUGAUUUUUAGAAAGAUAAUUUUGUAUCAAUAUUUAUUUUUAAAUGUUUUUGCCACAUGUCAUAUUCUGAUUAGUUAGGUGACUUGUGCUUUAGUAUAUAAAGGAUUAUUAGUAGGAUGAAGAGAGAGAGAAAGAAAGUCUCUUAUUUUAUUUUAUUUUUUUUGUCAUUGGAAAGUAAGGGACAUCCUUUAAUUAAAUGCUUUUCCCUUCUCUUUCUUCCUCGCUUCUCACCCCUCUUCCCUAAGGGAUGCCUUAAGAAACUUCCAAUAAUGAUGCUCUUAUACAAUGAAGCCUCAUCAUUAAGAUGUGACUGAUGAAAGUGGAGUACUUUUCAAUGGAUAUGGAGCUAUUAAAAGAUAUGGUACCCAAUAUUUCUUACGUAUACAUGUAUUUAUUACAUUAUUUAUUAACUUGUAGUAUCAUUUAGUA